rnacentral:rRNA from 1 species
AUACGGAUGGUGCAAGCGUUACUCGGAAUCACUGGGCGUAAAGCGCGCGCAGGCGGCCAUUUAAGUUGGAUGUGAAAGCCUACGGCUCAACCGUAGAACUGCAUCCAAAACUAUUUGGCUAGAGUGUGGGAGAGGAAGAUGGAAUUAGUUGUGUAGGGGUAAAAUCCGUAGAGAUAACUAGGAAUACCAAAAGCGAAGGCAAUCUUCUGGAACACUACUGACGCUGAGGCGCGAAGGCGUGGGGAGCAAACAGGAUUAGAAACCCCAGUAGUCC